CGGCAGCAGGAGAACCGGGGGAAUCGCGCUGCUGGGGUAAAAGCUGGAGCGAGGCGAAAGCGUGUAACAAUUGCACUCGCACACACACACAGACACACACACACACCACUCACACGCACUCGCCGCCCGCCCGCUCGCACAGCGUUGAAACACGCGCGCCCAGACACGCACACACGCACGCACACACACUCGCACACACGCAGAGGCACGGGGGGGAAAAGAAGCCGAUGAAUAAUUUUGCUGCUAUUUUUUUAAAUACUGGCCGCCAUCAUCAAGCAGCGAGCAGCAGCAGCAGCGUUGAAGGGAGAGGAGGCAUCGGGACAGGCCCCUCUUAGGAGAGGAUUUAUAUCUAGUUGGAAAAAAAAAAAAAAAAAGAAAAGAAAAAGAAGAAAAAGAAGAAAAAAAAAAUUGUCAAGCCCCCGAACUGAAGGUUACGAGCGGCCCGUCAGCAGCCCACAUGUAACCGAACUGUCGUGUUUCAUGGCUUUUUGCCACUCCAGCUGUCAAUCAAAGCCCGGAAUGUCAAGGAUUCCCUCCAAGACUGAUAGGAAAGACAGGGCCACUUCUGGACUAUCUGUGAGGAUGUGUUUCUUUCUGUAACACUGAAGCACUUUUUAUAAACCUUUUAAUGUAUUUAAAUAAAUCUAUUUGGACAUUAAGAGAAGCCAUACAUACAAAGAUAGUUUGGCUUUAUGCCGGCAAUCCCAACAUUAGAAAAAAAAAAAAUUCACAAUCCAACUGAGAAGCUUUUCCGUGCCCAACCUUGGUCAAAAAAAAAAAAAAAGAAGGAAAGCAAAAGAAAGUUUCCUGCGUGCAUCUGCAUGUCUUCGUGUGCACGAUUAUAAACAUCUCCCAGUCCUUGUUUGCCCGUUACCUCCCUCCUGCCACACACUCCAAGGCAGAGGCGUCGAGGGAUGGCCCCCAGAGAUCUGUGUUUACUCAGGUUUUCUUAAAAAAAUCUCUCCGCCAUGUAUGACAAGUGUUACUUCAAGAAAUUCAUCAGCCUUCUAUAGAUACUUCCAGUUUUACUGUAAUGAUCUGCAGAAGACAACUGCCAUCACUUUCUCACAUCCCAAGGUGUUGUAGGAACUCACAGAAAGGGGAGAGUGGCUGAAACGCUUAAUUACAGUGGCGGAGGUGGGGCGCGAGGCGGGACCGAGGGAGGGAGAGUGAGGAAGGUCUUUACCUGGCCAGUAUGUAGAAAGCUGCGAAUCCUCACGGCGAAUAUUUGGGAAAGGUAGGGUUGCCUUUUUUUUUUUUUUUUUUUGGUAAUGCCUUUGGGGAGAAGUGAUACACUUGUGUAACAAUUAGC